rnacentral:tRNA from 1 species
GACUGGCUGGCUCAGUGGGUAGAGCACGCGACUCUUAAUCUCGAGGUCACAAGUUCAAGCCCCAUGUUGGCCA